rnacentral:rRNA from 1 species
UACGGAGGAUGCGAGCGUUAUCCGGAUUUAUUGGGUUUAAAGGGUGCGUAGGCGGACUGUCAAGUCAGCGGUAAAAUUGAGAGGCUCAACCUCUUCCCGCCGUUGAAACUGGUGGUCUUGAGUGGAUGAGAAGUACGCGGAAUGCGUGGUGUAGCGGCGAAAUGCAUAGAUACCACGCAGAACUCCGAUUGCGAAGGCAGCGUACCGGCAUCCAACUGACGCUGAGGCACGAAAGCGUGGGGAUCAAACAGG